rnacentral:lncRNA from 1 species
ACAGUCUGGCUUCCAUUCUUUCUUCCUCAACCUCUUUAUCCUACCAAAAUAUGAAUCGUCAUUCAGCAGAUUCCACAGGUUGUGAAACUUUGGCUUCUUAACCGCAUAUGUUCCUAACUUCCUACUAUUAACAACUAAUCAAACUAACCAUUCAUCUAAAUUCCAAUAUUACUACUAUUUAACCGAUAACGAACCAGAAAAGUCAUUUAUACAUUCAACAUAGCCCCACUCUUUACUGUGCAGCGUCCUUGCAAACCACCUCGUACUACGUUUUACAAUAUCACCACAUCAUUGGCUUCCUC